GACAGUGUAUUGGUACCAGUCUAUGAAGUGGGCAGAUUGAGAAUGAGGAAAUGACCCUCUCUGAAUGAUAAUUUCCUCUCUCUCUCUCUCUCUCUCUCUCUCUCUCUCUCUCUCUCUCACACACACACACACACACACACACACACACAGAAUAUUGAACCCUUUCUGGCCAGAACAGACCACUUCACCAACUUUUGUCUGCGACUGCGAUUGAGAUGCCUUUCUUGUGGUUUGGUCGACUGCAGUAAUCUUAGUGAGUGACCCGGAGGCUGUUGCCGUUCUUUCUCUGGAAAUUUGGGCCCUUGGCCCGUGAGCAUCAGGGCCAUACAGAGUGCUGUUUUCUUGGCCACUGCUCCUGAAGACAGAGGCUUGUUUGAGCUGAUGUGCUUGAGGCCGUAAGUGUGUUUGGAGCUGCAUCAUUGUGAAGGCCUCUGCUCCCUGAGUAACUGUGUCCUUGUUGUGCUGUUGUUGUGAGAGAGAUAUGAGGGUGAGAUGGUGUACCUGCGGGGGAUUAAUAGUCCUGAUGGGAGGUGCUGGGAGCAUAGUGGUUAAGGAGCUGGGCCAGCAUGUAGUAGCCUAGAAAGUUGGGGGUUCAAUUCCCGGCUUCCACCGUUGUGCCCUUGAGCAAGGCAAUUAACCCCAAGUUGCCCCGAGGCCAUUGGCUCUUGUAAUAUAUUUGACAUAAUGUAAAUGACAUUAUAGAAGCGUCUGCUAAAUGUAAACGUAAUGUAGGGUUUCCUGAAGGGUUUGUUUUUAGGUGAAUUAGUAUGGGUGUCUCUGGGAGAAUUGGGGGUCCUAGCAAGUCUGUAAUAGACUAAAUGUAGGCUUUCCUCUAGGGUUAUAAGGUUAUUAGAUAAGAGAUUAUUGGAAUGGUCACAUGUAACUUGUCCUUAAGGGAAAUAUGACCCAGUCCUAAUGUGGAUGGGAUUAGGUCUAUACUAGAGGUUUGGGGUUUAUGCUAGGCUUGGGAGAGAAGUGUGUGUGUGUGUGUGUGUGUGUGGGUGUGUGUGUGUAUUCAUGUGUGUGAAAAGGGAGCUGUACAAAGGUGAGUGUACAGCUCUGCGGUGGCCUUACUAAGUUUUAUGUGUGUGUGGGGGUGAAGUGUGUGUUCUCUGUGUCUGGGUGUGUGUUUGUGCUGUGGCCAUGUUUUUGUGUGUGUGUGUCUGUGUGUGUGUGUGUGUUGUCAUCUCCUUGUCCCUGCUUUGGCUGUGUGUGUUAAUUUGUGAGGACGACAUCCUGUCCACUGUGGUCAGGAUACUAACUAUAAGCACUGUCUCUAAUGCAACUAUACACACAGACAGCAUCUCUAAUGCAAGAAUAGAUACACACACACACCAAAGAAGACCAGUAACCAAUUUGUCACAACACCAUUGGAUACUGGUGGGGACGUUCGCUGUGUGCUAUGGCUUUGAGGUCAUGAUCUACGGACCUCUGGACAUUGUCUUGCCGGUCUCAUUCGAUGCUAUCGUGUAGCAACACACACACACACACACACAUUCUCUCUCUCUUGCCUGCAAACCCACACCAGAGCAGUAAUGUGCCUGUUUCCACGCCAACGCACCGCUUCACCGUGUCCAUUUCCUCCUCAACGCAGAAGGACUCUGUUCUAGGUUUUUUUCCCCUUGUUUUGAUUUUUCUGCUGUCUGGUCUAAAAUGUGAACUCUCUCCCCGGCGGUGGCUCCACAAGGACAGCCCAACACCCCCAUGCCCCACCGGACGCUCUGCCUCUGAUCAUGCCUCCUCUGAUGAGUGCUCCUGGUAGCCACCUUGCCCCAGACUCUCUCUCUCACACACACACACACACUCACUCACACUUGUGGCUCACAAAAGCAACAAAUAACGAGAUUCUCGCUUCUCCCUGAAAACAAAAACAAUAACAAAUGAUUGUAUGAGGAGCAGAGCAGAUCUCGCCCAUCAAGUGAAGCUGCCUGGUCAGGCCAUUGACCCCCUUGACACAAACACACACACACUCUUGCGUGCUCAGAAACCCAGUGUAACAUAUCAGCUGUAGAUAGACACUGUACAGACUGACCCUUGCUGGAGAUGUGUAUAAAGUAUUCAUUUUUAAUCUGCUUUACCCAUUUUAAUGGAUUAAUUAAUUGACUGACUGACUGAUUAAUUGAUUGAUCGGUUGAAUGAAUGGAGACACACAAAAAAAAAAAAAAAAUCUGUGGGGGGUGUGCGCUGUGCUCAGGAUUCACCAAAACCCUGUUGGCUGUCGAUCUGUUGGGAGUGAUUUUUCUCUUGGUUGGAUCUGCCUGUGGAAGACAUGUACUUAAUAAAUGUGUCCGACCAGCA